GUGGGGAAUAUUGGACAAUGGGCGAAAGCCUGAUCCAGCCAUGCCGCGUGUGUGAAGAAGGUCUUCGGAUUGUAAAGCACUUUAAGUUGGGAGGAAGGGCAGUAAGUUAAUACCUUGCUGUUUUGACGUUACCGACAGAAUAAGCACCGGCUAACUUCGUGCCAGCAGCCGCGGUAAUACGAAGGGGGCUAGCGUUAAUCGGAAUUACUGGGCGUAAAGCGCGCGUAGGUGGUUUUGUAAGUUGGAGGUGAAAUCCCCGGGCUCAACCUGGGAACUGCCUCCAAAACUGCAUGACUAGAGUACGGUAGAGGGUAGUGGAAUUUCCUGUGUAGCGGUGAAAUGCGUAGAUAUAGGAAGGAACACCAGUGGCGAAGGCGACUACCUGGACUGAUACUGACACUGAGGUGCGAAAGCGUGGGGAGCAAACAGGAUUAGAUACCCUUGUAGUCC
rnacentral:rRNA from 1 species